GCCUCUGCCUCCCUUUCCUAAGCAAUCCCUCCCAUACACCUUAUGAAUGAUUCAGGUGCAACCACAGCUGCCUGUGUCUGGCUCCAGGUAGCUUCUUGAAAGCAGAUCUUCCUUGAGUUGGGAAGUUCCCCAGACUACGGACAGUUUUCCCUCUAAUUAAUGUUCCCUUUUCUACUAAGUUGAGAGACGAGGAGAAAAGGAGACAACUAGAGAGAAGGCGCGGACUGGGAUGCAUCACCUUGCAGUGUAACCAGCUGGAUUGUUUCUACACACUGGAUCAACACUGUAACCAGCUGGAUUGUCCAACAAUGUAACCAGCUAGAUUGUUUCUACACACUGAACCAACAAUGUAACCAGCUGGCUUGUCCAACAAUGUAACCAGCUGGAUUGCUUCUACACACUGAACCAACAAUGUAACCAGCUAGAUUGUUUCUACACACUGAACCAACAAUGUAACCAGCUGGAUUGUCCAACAAUGUAACCAGCUGGAUUGCUUCUACACCCUGGACCAACAAUGUUGGCAUCUGGUUUGUUGCUAAAGCUCUGGACUUGGUUUUUCUUGAUUAUGUAUUUAACACUGCUAUCAUCUUACUUUUGAGGUUUUCAUCUUAAGAUGUUUUCUCUGUAACUAGGUAUACACAGUUCAGCACAUUCUAAAACAUUUGAACCAUUGGGGUUUCAGUCCUUAAA